rnacentral:lncRNA from 8 species
AAGUAUUUUUUUCAACAGUGAGAAAAUAUUAAAAGGCUAAGCCUACAAACACAUCUUCCCUUCCACAGAAGUGAGUGCUGGUCAAUGAGAUUGGACAAUUCAUUUUUAAUUGGCGAUAAUAAAAUAUGAUAGUCUUUAUUCUUCCAUUGUAGGGAUGGCUUUUUUUUGCUACCUUACUAUUUGGCGUGUAUCGAACAUUGGGUAUUGAGGGGUCUGUGGGGAUUGAGCACGUGACAGUGACAGCAUAUUUUAUAAGAUCUCAAGGAAAAACUGUUUAUUUCACUUGCUACGUUAGGUUACACUGUACCAGAUCUGCGCUGAUACGUCGAGAGCGGAUUUGUCGAACAUCACAACUGCUCUGCUCAGGCUUUCUGAAUAGGGAGAAUUGGCCAAAUUAAACAUUGAGAGCUACCCAAACGCUUGAGACGUGAAGAAACAUCGAUUAACUGUUUUUUUUUUAGAGUAAUGCAAGCAGCCUUCCUUCAACGAGUUCACCUGUAUUGCGGUUAGUCGCGCGCCAAGCAUACAAGAACCGAUUCAUCCAGUGGAUUCAGCCGUACGGGCUCCACCAAAAGUGUCGACAAGACCUUUUCAAGGACCAGAAGUCUAUGGUGAGUUUACCCCACUCCUUGACAUUAAGAAAUUCAGUUAAUGUUGUGUGGGAUAACUUAGUUUUAUGCAUAGUUGGUUCUAGAUCACUUUUAAAAGUACUGUAGAUUAUCUUAGAGGUUUUAAAGAUAGUCACUACAUAGCUUCCUUUAUCCAGCGAUACUGUCCACCCCUGGUUAAGUACUGAUUACAGUCAGAAUAACAGGGCAUGAAA